CAGGGCUGGGAAAGUGGACCUAAACUGUGAAGUAUUAGCAUUUGUGAAAAUAUUUUGCAAAUGAAUCCAGCCAUUGGUGCAGCUUCUCAUAGAAGGGAAGUCUGGUGUCCAUACUCACUGCUGUCCUUGGCAUGCCUCUGAUGUUGCAGCUACAUUUGGGAAGCAGAAGGGCAAACUUAGUCCUGGCACAUAUUUGUCCUGCAAAAUUCUCUGCUGGAAUAUGUAACCAGAUCAUUCUUUUUUUGUUGUCACAGUUUAGCAAAUCACUUGAAAAUCUAAUCCUCAAAAUGGGCAGAAGCCUGGAUUAUUCACAGAUCAUGUUGGGCUUUUGUCUAGCAUGGCCCAGGGACAUGCACUGUCCCAGUUGUCUGUCAGUCAAGUCAGAUUUGGAAACCCAGUUUUCAUAAUACUGCCCUAGAAGGUGGCAAUUUUCCCUUAUAAGCAUGUUAGCUUAAAGUUUGGCCCUUAUUAUGUAAUUAAGGCAUAUUUACAUCUUGUAACAUAAAAGACUAUGCAUAUCCCUUUCCUUCACACAAUGACAUUUACCUCAGGCAAAACUUAGAUACUGAACUCAAGAUCAAAUAUUAAAGUUUGUGCACUGCUACAAGGUUGGUAAGUCGAAUUUGCCUUCCACAGCAUUUCAUGGAACUGUAAGUAUGUUUAUUGUGCUAGUCCCUUCCCUCAAAAAUAUUUGUGUUUGAUUGUGUGAUAUAAUUUGCUUCUAAAGAACACCAAAAGAAGUUUCAGUGUUCUCAGCAAAAAUAAAAAGGUCUGUGCCUUUUAUUUAAUUAA